CAUACAUAUGUGCUUGACAUUUUGUUAUAGCAACAAAUAAUGUUAUCUUAUUGGAGGUUCUGUUAUAGCAACAAAUAAUGUUAUCUUAUUGGAGGUUCUGUUAUAGCAACAAAUAAUGUUAUCUUAUUGGAGGUUCUGUUAUAGCAACAAAUAAUGUUAUCUUAUUGGAGGUUCUGUUAUAGCAACAAAUAAUGUUAUCUUAUUGGAGGUUCUGUUAUAGCAACAAAUAAUGUUAUCUUAUUGGAGGUUCUGUUAUAGCAACAAAUAAUGUUACCUUAUUGGAGGUUCUGUUAUAGCAACAAAUAAUGUUAUCUUAUUGGAGGUUCUGUUAUAGCAACAAAUAAUGUUAUCUUAUUGGAGGUUCUGUUAUAGCAACAAAUAAUGUUAUCUUAUUGGAGGUUCUGUUAUAGCAACAAAUAAUGUUAUCUUAUUGGAGGUUCUGUUAUAGCAACAAAUAAUGUUACCUUAUUGGAGGUUCUGUUAUAGCAA